GUGAGGAAUAUUGGACAAUGGCCGGAAGGCUGAUCCAGCCAUGCCGCGUGAAGGAAUAAGGUCCUAUGGAUUGUAAACUUCUUUUGUACGAGAGCAAUAAGUGCUACGUGUAGCACGAUGAGAGUAUCGUACGAAUAAGCAUCGGCUAACUCCGUGCCAGCAGCCGCGGUAAUACGGAGGAUGCGAGCGUUAUCCGGAUUUAUUGGGUUUAAAGGGUGCGUAGGCGGGAUUUUAAGUCAGCGGUGAAACGCAAGGGCUCAACCCUUGACCUGCCGUUGAAACUGGAGUUCUUGAAUGCGGAUGCUGUGGGAGGAAUGUGUGGUGUAGCGGUGAAAUGCAUAGAUAUCACACAGAACACCGAUUGCGAAGGCAUCUCACAAAUCCGUGAUUGACGCUGAGGCACGAAAGUGUGGGGAUCAAACAGG
rnacentral:rRNA from 1 species